ACUGGCAAUCUGGUCGGUCGGACC
rnacentral:miRNA from 1 species